rnacentral:rRNA from 1 species
GAGUGUUGAGGGGAGCGGACCCUAGUACGAGAGGACCGGGUCGGACAAUCCGCUCGUGUCCCGGCUGUCCUGCCAAGGGCACCGCCGGGUAGCGAUGAUUGGCUGUGAUAACCGCUGAAUGCAUCUAAGUGGGAAGCACGCCCCAAGAUGAACACUCACAGGGCUUCGCGCCCUCUGAAGGGCCGGGGGAGACCACCCCGUCAAUAGGCCGCCCGUGGACGUGCCGCAAGGCACUCCGAGCGCAGCGGUCCUAAUCGCCCGUGCGGCUUGACUAC